GAUUUGGGGACACAGUGCAACCCCCACAGGAGGGACCCGUUGUUUCUGGGCCUUCGAGGGUGGGGAUGGGCAGAGAGGACACGCUGUGGAGGCCCCAGGGUCUGGUGAAAGCUUGGUGGUGCGGGCCAGUCCCGAGUCCCGCCACGGGGCCUGGCAGAGUCCAGGGGCAACAGAGAGGCCCCGACAGUUGAGGAAAGUCAAGAAAACUCAACAGAUUAGAAAACAACACCCCAACCCCAGCCCCGAUGCGCUCCAAACCUCAACCUGCAGCCGGAAGGGAAGUGAAACCUGGCUGGGGUGGGGGCUCCAGGGCGGCUGCCCCAGGAAGCGCCCAGAGCUGCAGCUCACACGCACAGUGAGGACCGAUGGCGGAGGCUCCAGCCACCCCGGCUCCGAGGAGCGGCGGAGCUGCUGGCGGAAGAAGACACAGGGUAAGGCCCGGCUGGCCACACACGCCCAGGCCCGCACAAGCCUUUGCAUCUGCAUGUUGUGGGGCUGCGCUUAACCCGAGGUCUGUGGCACCGCGGGUCGGAUGCAACUCACAGGCUGCAGGGCGUCUUCCUGGGUCCCUGUCCCCACCUCGCCCGGGCAGCUAGAUGCCUCUUCCGUCUAAUGCUGCAGCUGGGCCUCGCUGGGAAAGGGGUUCACCCACCCGCCAGCGGGAUGCGAACUGGGCUCCAGGCGGGCUGGACGCCCAGGAAGAGCCAGGCCUAGGGCAGGCAGGGCGGAGACUGUGAGGGCAGGAGGUGGGGUGGGUCCUGUCCAGGAGGCCUGGCCAAGAGGGGUGCUCAGCCUCAGGAGCCUCGAAGCCUGUGCUGGGAGUCUGACCAGGCCCUCUCCCAGGCCGCCCUGCUCCGCUGGGGUGAGGAGGCAGAGACCACUGCCGUGUCUGAGUGUCCGGCAGGCGGGGCUUUGGGUGGGCUGCAUGUGGGCACAGCCGGAGAUGGGAAGGGCGCUGGCGACCCAGGCACCUGCAUGAGGCCUUCGGCUCUGUGGAGCACCCCACCUGAGAUGGGGUAGGCAGGGUCCCUGGCUGUGGGGUCUGACUGUCCUAGGGUGCAGGGCUGCACACAGGAGUGGCCAGGGCUUGUGGGCAGACAAUGGUUGAGGCGUGGGCAGCCGUGUGAGAGAGACCACGGGCCCAGCGGGAGGAUGGCAGAAAGGAAGGAGCAGAGGGAAGGGGUGAGACGCUCAAAGCCACAGGACUGAAGUGGACCUGACCAGCCACCCCGACUUGCUCCAGAGCCACUGCAGGGGUGGGCGAAGGAGAGCCAGCCGCCCACUAGGACCCCGCUGGCCAAG
rnacentral:lncRNA from 1 species